rnacentral:piRNA from 1 species
UCGGCUCCUGCUCCAGCGGCACAAUGU